rnacentral:rRNA from 1 species
GACGAACGCUGGCGGCGUGCCUAAUACAUGCAAGUAGAACGCUGAAGAGAGGAGCUUGCUCUUCUUGGAUGAGUUGCGAACGGGUGAGUAACGCGUAGGUAACCUGCCUUGUAGCGGGGGAUAACUAUUGGAAACGAUAGCUAAUACCGCAUAACAAUGGAUGACACAUGUCAUUUAUUUGAAAGGGGCAAUUGCUCCACUACAAGAUGGACCUGCGUUGUAUUAGCUAGUAGGUGAGGUAAUGGCUCACCUAGGCGACGAUACAUAGCCGACCUGAGAGGGUGAUCGGCCACACUGGGACUGAGACACGGCCCAGACUCCUACGGGAGGCAGCAGUAGGGAAUCUUCGGCAAUGGGGGCAACCCUGACCGAGCAACGCCGCGUGAGUGAAGAAGGUUUUCGGAUCGUAAAGCUCUGUUGUAAGUCAAGAACGGGUGUGAGAGUGGAAAGUUCACACUGUGACGGUAGCUUACCAGAAAGGGACGGCUAACUACGUGCCAGCAGCCGCGGUAAUACGUAGGUCCCGAGCGUUGUCCGGAUUUAUUGGGCGUAAAGCGAGCGCAGGCGGUUUGAUAAGUCUGAAGUUAAAGGCUGUGGCUCAACCAUAGUUCGCUUUGGAAACUGUCAAACUUGAGUGCAGAAGGGGAGAGUGGAAUUCCAUGUGUAGCGGUGAAAUGCGUAGAUAUAUGGAGGAACACCGGUGGCGAAAGCGGCUCUCUGGUCUGUAACUGACGCUGAGGCUCGAAAGCGUGGGGAGCGAACAGGAUUGGAUACCCUGGUAGUCCACGCCGUAAACGAUGAGUGCUAGGUGUUGGAUCCUUUCCGGGAUUCAGUGCCGCAGCUAACGCAUUAAGCACUCCGCCUGGGGAGUACGACCGCAAGGUUGAAACUCAAAGGAAUUGACGGGGGCCCGCACAAGCGGUGGAGCAUGUGGUUUAAUUCGAAGCAACGCGAAGAACCUUACCAGGUCUUGACAUCCCGAUGCUAUUUCUAGAGAUAGAAAGUUACUUCGGUACAUCGGUGACAGGUGGUGCAUGGUUGUCGUCAGCUCGUGUCGUGAGAUGUUGGGUUAAGUCCCGCAACGAGCGCAACCCCUAUUGUUAGUUGCCAUCAUUCAGUUGGGCACUCUAGCGAGACUGCCGGUAAUAAACCGGAGGAAGGUGGGGAUGACGUCAAAUCAUCAUGCCCCUUAUGACCUGGGCUACACACGUGCUACAAUGGUUGGUACAACGAGUUGCGAGUCGGUGACGGCGAGCUAAUCUCUUAAAGCCAAUCUCAGUUCGGAUUGUAGGCUGCAACUCGCCUACAUGAAGUCGGAAUCGCUAGUAAUCGCGGAUCAGCACGCCGCGGUGAAUACGUUCCCGGGCCU